CAGGACGAACGUUGGCGGUGCGCUUAAUGCAUGCAAGUCGAGGGAGAACCAUUCGUUUCGUAAGAUCCAGAUGGGGAAACCGGCGAACGGGUGCGUAACACGUGAGGAACCUGCCCCGAAGACCGGGAUAGCCCGGGGAAACCCGGAUUAAUACCGGAUACCCUCAUCGGACCGCAUGGUCUGAUGAGGAAAUGGUCAGCCGCUUCGGGAUGGCCUCGCGGCCUAUCAGCUUGUUGGUGAGGUAACGGCUCACCAAGGCUAAGACGGGUAGCUGGUCUGAGAGGACGAUCAGCCACACUGGGACUGAGACACGGCCCAGACUCCUACGGGAGGCAGCAGCAGGGAAUAUUGCACAAUGGGCGAAAGCCUGAUGCAGCGACACCGCGUGCGGGAUGAAGGCCUUCGGGUUGUAAACCGCUUUCAGGAGGGACGAAAAUGACGGUACCUCCAGAAGAAGGCCCGGCCAACUACGUGCCAGCAGCCGCGGUAACACGUAGGGGCCAAACGUUGUCCGGAUUUAUUGGGCGUAAAGGGCUCGUAGGCGGUUCAACAAGUCGACUGUGAAAUUCCGAGGCUUAACCUCGGAACUGCAGUCGAUACUGCUGUGACUAGAGUCCGGUAGAGGAGAAUGGAAUUCCCGGUGUAGCGGUGAAAUGCGCAGAUAUCGGGAGGAACACCAGUAGCGAAGGCGGUUCUCUGGGCCGGUACUGACGCUGAGGAGCGAAAGCGUGGGUAGCAAACAGGAUUAGAUACCCUGGUAGUCCACGCCGUAAACGUUGGACACUAGGUGUGGCGUUCCGACCAACGGGUGCCGUGCCGAAGCUAACGCAUUAAGUGUCCCGCCUGGGGAGUACGGCCGCAAGGCUAAAACUCAAAGGAAUUGACGGGUCCCCGCACAAGCGGCGGAGCAUGUGGUUUAAUUCGAUGCAACCCGAAGAACCUUACCUGGGUUUGACAUCACGGGAAAAGCUGUAGAAAUACAGUGUCCUUUUGGGCCCGUGACAGGUGGUGCAUGGCUGUCGUCAGCUCGUGUCGUGAGAUGUUGGGUUAAGUCCCGCAACGAGCGCAACCCUUGUCCUAUGUUGCCAGCGGUUCGGCCGGGGACUCAUAGGAGACUGCCGGGAUAACUCGGAGGAAGGUGAGGACGACGUCAAGUCGCCAUGCCCCUUAUAUCCAGGGCUGCACGCAUGCUACAAUGGCCGGUACAACGGGCAGCGACC
rnacentral:rRNA from 1 species